UUCUGUAACAGCAAUAUAUAUGUAUAUCUUCAAAAUGUAAUACAAUAGUUUGUAAUUUUGAAUUAUCUUCAAUUCCGAUAAUUUUGGAAAAUUUGAAACAAAGAUUAAUGUUACUGCUCUGCUUCAAUUACGGAUACUUUGCUCGCUGAAGAAUCGCCAACGGUGAAACCAAUUUGUUAUCUGGCUCGCUGUGAAAAACGUUUGGUGACCUCUGGAUUAAAAUAUGAGAAUGGCGAUAACUGAUCAAUCAAGUGACUUCACACUCACCAAAGGGAACAGACCAAGUCAUCCAGCUGAAACAAUAGCAGAUAUAGAUUUUAUAGAUGAUAUUGCGUUGAAGGCGAACUACUCUUAGUAAGAGUGGAAAUUUCAGCUGCACAAAUUUGCUUCCACUUGAACACGACACAUCAAUAUUCACCUCCCUUCAUCAGUCUCCAAUAGAAUCAUCGCCUCAGAAAGACAAGCUGAAACUAGUUAUUUCGCAAGCUUACAACGAACGUGACAUCGCAAUCGCGCGUAAACGGUUCCUUUCCCCAGAAAAGGAAAGAUCUGACUGCUAUUCAAAGCGAAUACAGAGGAGUUUGCAGUUGCCAUUUUCAAAUCUUCAUGGAUUGCACGAGGAAGAUUAUACCGUAAGGAAUAAAACUAAUGCUGAUUUGAUUGAUCUCAUUCACAUUGAAAACUUAAUGGAUAACAUUCUUUCCAUUUGAUGAAGCAUCAUUUCAUUCAUGCAGAAAAAUUAAUCGGCACAAUUGUCACAACUGGACACAUUAACGUCCAAAAGACUUUGUCCAACACUGUGAAAAUGACUCGCUUAAGAUUAACGUGUGGAUGGAUAUAAAAAGAAAAAAAACGAUACUUUCUGAUUAUCUGCAAGUUUAAAAUAAAAAUAAAAAAGAUUAGUAAAUAAAAUAUUACAUUCGUGAAAUAGAUUUAAUAGUUGAUCGUUGGACUUUCGGUAUAGCUAUCGCUACCUCAUGGAGAAGGGGGAAAAGCAAGGAAAUGUGUAAUUGUCGCCUUUUGUGAAAGUUUUUAUUAUUAUUAUUAUUAUUGUCCAAAACAUUUAAUCUUUUAACAUUCUUCCUCUCCAAUUCCGUGUCUUUUCUAGUAAAUUUUUACUGGUACUUUUCUCCAUGACGUCGUGAUAGCUAUUCCGAAAGUCCACCGAUCAGCUAUUACACCCGUCUCACGAAUGUAAGUUUACUUUGUCAUCCCGACGAGAAACGCUGUUCUAGCUGGAGAGUUUAUUUUAUAGGUGAAUAAAAAUUAUUGCAAGGGACAUAACUUUGCUACUACAAUAGUGGAAAGACUUCAAACGUAAAAUUUUAAUAAUUCUUUCCAGGCUUUUAUCAA
rnacentral:lncRNA from 1 species